rnacentral:rRNA from 1 species
GUAAAGGGUGCGUAGGCGGCAAUUUAAGUUGGAUGUGAAAUACCCGGGCUUAACCUGGGGGGUGCAUUCAAAACUGGAUAGCUAGAGUACAGGAGAGGGAAGCGGAAUUCCUAGUGUAGCGGUGAAAUGCGUAGAUAUUAGGAGGAACACCGGUGGCGAAGGCGGCUUUCUGGACUGAAACUGACGCUGAGGCACGAAAGCGUGGGGAGCAAACAGGAUUAGAUACCCUGGUGGUCCACGCUGUAAACGAUGAAUACUAGGUGUAGGGGGUAUAGACUCCCUC